CGGGAAAAUGAGGAUGGUCGAAGAAGUGGGGACAGGCAUUCACGUCGUUACUCUGACCGCAGGGAUGAAAGGGAAGAGCGUAGAAAGUCAGAAUGGAGAAGGGAUAGUAGAGAUGAUGGAAGGAGAAGGGAUAGUAGAGAUGAUGGAAGGAGAAGGGAUAGUAGAGAUGAUGAAAGGCAAAGUAGGCAUAGAAACCGGGCUGAUGAUGGUGAUGUGAAGUAUCACAGAAAUAAGGAGGUGAAUGAAAGACGAGAAGACACUGAGC
rnacentral:lncRNA from 1 species